rnacentral:rRNA from 1 species
UACAGAGGGUGCGAGCGUUGUCCGGAAUCACUGGGCGUAAAGGGCGCGUAGGCGGCUUGAUAAGCGUGCGGUGAAAGCCCGGGGCUCAACCCCGGGUCGGCCGUGCGAACUGUCGAGCUGGAGCACUGUAGAGGCAGGUGGAAUUCCGGGUGUAGCGGUGGAAUGCGCAGAUAUCAGGAGGAACACCGGUGGCGAAGGCGGGUCUCUGGGCCGAUACUGACGCUGAGGAGCGAAAGCGUGGGGAGCGAACAGG